AAGGCUAUACUUUUAGGGAUCGUUUCUAUAGUUUUUGACUUGAGAAAUGGGUUCUUAAUUGAUGGGUCUCACCAACCAUGAGGACGAGAAAAACCGUCUUCUCCUGAACGUGAAGUUGGUUGAAGCAAUUGCUUUUCUUGCGAUUGCUUUUAACCUUUGAUGAUCGUUCUGCUCCUAAGUAGGAGUUAGAGGGAGAAGACGCAUUCUGAGUGGU